CCAAUCAAACCGGGAGAUAGCUGGUUCUCCCCGAAAGCUAUUUAGGUAGCGCCUCGUGAAUUCAUCUCCGGGGGUAGAGCACUGUUUCGGCAAGGGGGUCAUCCCGACUUACCAACCCGAUGCAAACUGCGAAUACCGGAGAAUGUUAUCACGGGAGACACACGGCGGGUGCUAACGUCCGUCGUGAAGAGGGAAACAACCCAGACCGCCAGCUAAGGUCCCAAAGUCAUGGUUAAGUGGGAAACGAUGUGGGAAGGCCCAGACAGCCAGGAUGUUGGCUUAGAAGCAGCCAUCAUUUAAAGAAAGCGUAAUAGCUCACUGGUCGAGUCGGCCUGCGCGGAAGAUGUAACGGGGCUAAACCAUGCACCGAAGCUGCGGCAGCGACACUGUGUGUUGUUGGGUAGGGGAGCGUUCUGUAAGCCUGUGAAGGUGUACUGUGAGGUAUGCUGGAGGUAUCAGAAGUGCGAAUGCUGACAUAAGUAACGAUAAAGCGGGUGAAAAGCCCGCUCGCCGGAAGACCAAGGGUUCCUGUCCAACGUUAAUCGGGGCAGGGUGAGUCGACCCCUAAGGCGAGGCCGAAAGGCGUAGUCGAUGGGAAACAGGUUAAUAUUCCUGUACUUGGUGUUACUGCGAAGGGGGGACGGAGAAGGCUAUGUUGGCCGGGCGACGGUUGUCCCGGUUUAAGCGUGUAGGCUGGUUUUCCAGGCAAAUCCGGAAAAUCAAGGCUGAGGCGUGAUGACGAGGCACUACGGUGCUGAAGCAACAAAUGCCCUGCUUCCAGGAAAAGCCUCUAAGCAUCAGGUAACAUCAAAUCGUACCCCAAACCGACACAGGUGGUCAGGUAGAGAAUACCAAGGCGCUUGAGAGAACUCGGGUGAAGGAACUAGGCAAAAUGGUGCCGUAACUUCGGGAGAAGGCACGCUGAUAUGUAGGUGAAGUCCCUCGCGGAUGGAGCUGAAAUCAGUCGAAGAUACCAGCUGGCUGCAACUGUUUAUUAAAAACACAGCACUGUGCAAACACGAAAGUGGACGUAUACGGUGUGACGCCUGCCCGGUGCCGGAAGGUUAAUUGAUGGGGUCAGCGCAAGCGAAGCUCUUGAUCGAAGCCCCGGUAAACGGCGGCCGUAACUAUAACGGUCCUAAGGUAGCGAAAUUCCUUGUCGGGUAAGUUCCGACCUGCACGAAUGGCGUAAUGAUGGCCAGGCUGUCUCCACCCGAGACUCAGUGAAAUUGAACUCGCUGUGAAGAUGCAGUGUACCCGCGGCAAGACGGAAAGACCCCGUGAACCUUUACUAUAGCUUGACACUGAACAUUGAGCCUUGAUGUGUAGGAUAGGUGGGAGGCUUUGAAGUGUGGACGCCAGUCUGCAUGGAGCCGACCUUGAAAUACCACCCUU
rnacentral:rRNA from 1 species